GUCCAGAGGACCUAUACUAUUUUUUUCUUUGAUUUUUACCUGGAUUACUGAGAUGCAUCAGGACAACUAACAGACUUAUGGUCACCUUUAUUUUCUUUGGGUGCACCACAGUCACAUCGGUGCUACGUGAUUUAAAAGAAGCAGUUUUCAUCACGUGUCUAGUCACACACGUGCGUCUUUCUAUCUUUGUGAGGACCACCCACAGCGCUCAGCCUYGCUCUGUGCCGUCUUUUCCCCACCAAGUUAGGCGAGGGGUGCAAAAACUAACUCGACGUGAUCUGGACUUAUUUAAAUAGAGAUGACUCUAUGCUGUGAAAUUCUUAGAGGGGCGGGCCGUGUCGUUGGUGUGGGGGUCUGACCCCCUUGUAUGAUGGUAGGGGAAACACUGAAAAGCAAAUUUGAGUAUGUAAUGAGCUUUGUGUUUGUCAGGUAAUGUAAUAAAUGUAAGGUGUUCAUGGAUGUCUUUUAGACUUUUUAAGUUUUACUGGUCAGCAGUUAAUAUUAUGACUUUCUUUGUUCAGUCAGUAAAACAUUUCAGUGGCUGCAACACGAGUAACAGCAGUGCUCAACUCCAUCAGCCUAAGGCUUUCUGAGCACCGCUCCACUGGAGAGGCAGAUCAUGCUUACCACCAGCUGGAGUGCAUCAGAGGCUUUUAGGAGGAUACUGGGACCAGUUUGUGAAUGCUGAACAGGCCUUACAGGAACUGGAGGAAGCAUUGGAUCCCCAACAUCAGUUACAGGUUCAGAGUUCCUACAGUAAAGAUGGACAACAGAGGUCAUCCAGCUUUCAGCAUAAACCGACAGCAGUUGGAUUUGCUUCACUUUGACUUUACAGCUUCAGACACUGUCCAUGUGUUGUGUGUCAGUGUGAGGACAAUAACGAGAAGACUUAAAGAGGACGGACCAUCAGUGCAACAGAUGUUCAGUGACAUCACGAGUGCAGAUUUACAAACCGUUGUCUCUGCAUAUCUGCACACAAACACAAAUUCAGGUUACAGGAUGGUAAAUGGUACUAAGGAGCAUGGGUAUCAGGGAAGGAUUAUUUAUGAAGGAAAGUAAUCAAAAUGUAAUUUUCAUAAUGUUGCAUCACUUAUUUGGUACAGUCUGUGAUUUCAAUGGUUGGUACAUGUCAAUAUGUUAAAAUAUCAGGAUUUCUAAAGUGACCUAGAAUUAGUCAUUGUUACAUGGACGAGGCUUUUAGUCAAUAAGUCUGGUUAAGUUUGUCUUUUUCUCCUCUCAGUGACCUGCAGCGUUGUCCUCCCUCUGCAGUGCUCUGCUGGCUGUGGAAGGAAGUCAGUGAGGAGUUAGACAUUUAUUGUGGUUCAGCUGGGUUUAUUCAAUGUUUCCAAAUACUGACUGACUCAGUGAGGACACCGAUCCUUUGUUGGAGCAGUGUUUCUCCUAGUCUCUGAGUCUAGGCUGAGAGAGACAAUGCAAGCUGUUGACCCUUUUGGUAAUGUCCUUCGUGGUUUAUGCUUGAACCUGUUCAGCGACGAUCGUACUCUGUCCCUGCCCCGUUGUCUUUGUGGCUUUUGGAUGGUUCUCAUAAGCUUAUUCAGCAAGUAACUUUAAAAUACUUUUGUAUUUUUAAUGAUGCACAUGUGACUCCUGCUAYACUCAUUGUGUUUGUCAUCAAGAUGGAGAAUUGUCAUUCACGGGUGCAUUGAUGGCUACAGCAGGAAGAUAAUGUACCUUCAUGCUUCUAACAACAACAAGGCUUCAGCAGCUCAGCAGGCCUUCUGGAGCUGUGCAGCAGUUUGGUUUGCCUCACUGUGUCCGCAGUGACAAGGGUGGUGAGAAUGUCGCAGUUGCCAGGUUUAUGCUUGACCAUCCACUCCAUGGACCAGGUAUGUUUAUUACUCACUGUACCCUACAGAGCUGCUGAAAUGAAAUAAAGUCUGACCCUGGAUUUACACUCGAUGUGACUCCACUGUGCUGUGGUGUCCCUUCAUGUUUUAAUAAAUAGUGCUGAUUAGAGGUGCAGCUACAAGCGGUAAUGUUCCUCAACUUUUACAGAAUUAACGAGUAGUUCGUGAACUCAAAACACCAGAAAUCCUGACAAAAUGAGCUGCUAGUCCACAGCUCAUAGGCUGAGCUCCUCUCUGUCACCC